ACGGUAAAACGGUGAGUCAUCAGAUUCCUCUUUUUCAAAUUUCAUUGAUUCCAAUUGAAAAAUCUCCUCUCCUUCCACUUAUUUCUCACAUGCAUUCUCUCUAUAUAUAUGAGCAGCUCCUAGUUUUAUAACUCUGCAUCUAUCCACCUCUCUCUGUAAAUUUAUCUAAAUGUUUCUUUUAAUCUUUUUGAGAUUAAUAAUGAUUUGUGUUUGUUCAUCAACCGAUUUUCUCAGAUCUGUCAAUUAUUUUUGUUUAUUUAUUUAUGAUUUAUGAAUGAGGAAAGAGUGAAGUCGCUGGAGGCAGCGGUUCAUCGAUCAAUUCCUGUGAAUAUUUAUUUUUGUUUACAAAAGCAAGAAUCGAUCGAUAAACCUCUGCAUCCAGCGCUGCUUGCUCUUCAUGACUUUUGUUUAAUUGAUAUCUAUUUGAGUAUUGCUGAGAAGCAGGACAAUGGAUUCGAUAAAGUCUUCUCAGCUGCUGAAACUAAAUAUUUAAAAUUUAUCCCAAAUCUAAUUCAAAGUAUUCAUCUUUUAGCUGUUGAGAUAGUGAGGGAAAACAAAAUUCUUGUAUAUGAAAAAAGGAUAAAAUGAAAUUGUUUGUUUGUUAUUGUUUUGGGUAACAGAUCAAUUAUCAUAUGUGUUUUUGUUUGUAGUCAUGUCUUCAUAAUUGACUCAUAUUCUUAAAUCUUACAACUUCAGUUUUGUCUUAACUUUUUUUUUUAUUGAUCUGUUUUUUAACAAUGGUCCUGAAUUCUGAUGAUGCAGUUUUACUUUUGGUUUACAUGUAUGUAUCAAGGUUUGUGUUCCAUAUGGUCUUUCUUCAUCUAGCAUUUUUGUUUUUGUUUGUUGAGCCACUGAAUCCAACUUGUACUUCUUCAGCUUUGCAGAUUAGUAGAUCGGUUUUUUUCCUGGCUAUGUCUUUUGUCACUACAGACCCUCAACGCUAAUUUUGUUCCUGAGCAUGGCUAUGUUGUUAUGAGUUCCUGAUAUGAAAUUUGCUGUGAUCUCUUGGUUUCUUGAUGCAAUGUGUGCUUUUGCUUACUUCUCUGGCUCUUUUAAGUAUUACCUACAUAGACAUUGCAUAAUUCUAAAACCUUUGCUUUUGCAUUACUAUGUUCAUUCUUGGCAAGUGAUAAGGAAUCCACGUAGAAUAGUAUAAUAC
rnacentral:precursor_RNA from 1 species